CUUGGACUAAAUAAUCCUAUAAAAUAAAUACAAAUAAUAAAAACAAAAUAAAAGUAGAAAACAACAAAAUAAAAGAGGAAGACAAAACAAUGGGCCAAAAAUCAACAUCCAGCACAAGCAAGGGUGUCAUUAGUAGCCACAGGGGGGGUUCAUAUAGCAAUUUGAGCAUUGGCCCAAAGGCAGCAAGCCCGGAUGAGAGUCAAUGAUCUUGACUCAACCAAAACCACACGAUGUACCUGUUUGGAAUAGUCAACAAGAUCAUACGAUUCUAGACGAGGAUACACAGGAAGUUCCACGGAGUUGCACACGCCAGAUCCUCUUGUCAACCACCAAGUCAACCCUGGACAAGUGGCUAUGAUGAAGCCAAAACGGCAGCCACUUGUCCCAUGCUGGCUAAAAUAAUGGAAAGGGAAUCCCAAGUGGGACUCAACCUAAUGCUCAUAUUCCCAUUUUCACUCUCUCUCGGGUCCCUCAGUCUCUCUUUAUCCUAACACAACCAAUAACAAAAACUUCAUCCAAACAAAUCAAACAUGGUGGUGGAGUAAGAAAUCCACGGCGGAGAGUAUGAAGAUCCACGGUGGCGCCCAAGAACACCAUGGCUACGCCGCCAUGAGUUACCCAAAAUCCAAACCCCAACUCUUUACCCCACCUAAACAGCCCUUCUAAACCCAAAUCCAGCAAUGAAUUCCACAAAUAACCACUCAAAAAUAACGAAUCGCAAUCUACAGUAAAAACCUAGAAUUUUAAAACCAAAAUUAAAUCGUCACUUUCAACCAAAUAAAAAAAUAUAUAGAGGGUUUCUACUCAAUUAAUCACGGAGAACACGAAGGUACAACAAUUUUGAGAAAAGCGUGAAGAGGCUUAGCUAACCGGAGCUAGUCUGGUGAUGCUCUCUUCGGCGACACUCAGAUAAGUCUUCUUUCUCUCUUCUUUAUGGUUUACGAUGUCCUUCAUCCUCUUCUCUGUUUUUUGAACCUUGUUUGGAUGCUUUGGGAUGGAUUUGUGUAGCUCAACCUUGCCCAAACUCUGAUAAUGAGUUUGAGAGGUUAAUGGAAGCGGGCUUUAGUGUAGGUGAUGAGAGAAUAUUUUUGCAGUAUUUUAGUAGUAUUUUUUUAUCCCCCUCUGAAUAGAAUAGUGUCCUCUUUUUAUAUGGAAUGAAUAAUGAGUGCUGAGGAAACAAAAUACGUGUGAAAGGCAUUGUUCAAGUGUGUGAAAUCUGAAAUGUGUGAGGAAUCGUGUGAGGUAGUGAGGUGAGUUCCUCCAUUCUGUUAGUUAAGAGGAGUGAAUCCCCUAAUUUUGUGGGAUUUUUAUUGAGAAUCCGUUUUGGUGGAGUGAGUGUGUACUAAGGUGUAUCUUGGAUGGUCCCCAAAAGAUGAAAACUCACGAAUUGUUGCUUGUAGAAUUUUGAUAUUUCCACUGUAAAAUUCAAGUGUGGCACACUUUAUGUGUGUAUUUGCUGAUUUUGGUGUGGUUUAUCUUGUUGGUGGACUGCCUGCUCUUAUUAUUUUUUGAUGUACAACUAUUGUUUUUCCAUGUACUACUAUAAAUUAUUGGUUUUUUACUAAUUAUUGAGUAUUGUUUUGCCAUUGGGAUUGUUAUGAUUGAUGAACUUGUGCUUGAACUGGUGUGGUGAUAUAAUUAUGGAAUGUAUUGUUUAUUUAUGCAUUUUUGUAGGUGACUGCAUUGUUAUGCAUUUAUGGUUUGACAAUGGACAAUUUGUUGUGUUUUGCAGACUUAGUGAUGAGUUCUGUAUGACAUGGCCAAUGGGUAAAAUUGGGACAUCAUGGAGGAGUUAAAUCAAGGGCUACUAUUCGAAGGAGUAUUAUGGAUUGAAUUGCUCAUUACUUGAUGUUAUUUGGAAUGAUAGGUUGAAUCACUGCUUGUAGAUUGAAUGAGGUCGACGAACUUGAUAUGUUUUCCAUGCCUUUUUGUGAUGCCAAUGAUCUGUUGGCCAUUUGCAUUGCUUUUCAAGAUCAUGAUAAAGAUGAAGUUAUGAGUUUAAGACUAAAUUAGUUAGGAAGUAGGUCCAUGUGCUUGGGUAUUUCGUGUAAUGUUGAUGUAUAUGUAACUUUGAAUCAUGUAAUGGUUCCUUCCUUCAAAUAAGACUUAAACUUUCUUUCCCUCCAA